rnacentral:rRNA from 1 species
GACAGAGGAUGCAAGCGUUAUCCGGAAUGAUUGGGCGUAAAGCGUCUGUAGGUGGCUUUUUAAGUCCGCCGUCAAAUCCCAGGGCUCAACCCUGGACAGGCGGUGGAAACUACCAAGCUGGAGUACGGUAGGGGCAGAGGGAAUUUCCGGUGGAGCGGUGAAGUGCGUAGAGAUCGGAAAGAACACCCGUGGCGAAGGCGGCUCUCUGGGACGGUACUGACGCUGAGACGCGAAAGCGUGGGGAGCGAACAGG